AGGACCUCCAGGGUUGCCGAAAUCCCCAUUGGAAAGUAUCGGAUAAUGCUUUCCUAUGUGGAGGGCUAGUGCGCGGCCAUUGCUGCACAUGCGCAUAAGGUCUCCCCCACCGGCUGACGGGCAGUAGGCAGAGCCUAACCCAGUAAGUCACUGAAAGGGUUUUAACCCCUUCAGCAACUUGGGAUGGGGUGGGGAGGUGGCACAAAUGUUUUCCUGGCACUGGAGAGUCCCUUUAAGCCGCUCAGCUAUAGAGCAGAGGUAGGCAGUUGCUGUACAAAUGCCAUGAUGUUUUGUCAGCUGUGGAUGGAUUAUUUACUCAUCCUUGCAGGGUACUAUUUGUAUGCAGCAUCUGUGAAUAUAGACAUGUUUUUAUCGUGUAUACUUGUGGGAAUGUUUAUGUAUCUGUGUACAAUGCUGAUGCUUGAAUGUGAGGUUUCUGUUUCUGGGUAGUGUUGACAUUUAAAUGCAUGGGUGUAUGUGUGUAGUGUUGCUGUUUGAAGUUUUUUUAGGUAGUAUUUUAUUUUUCAAGUGUAUGAAUGCAUUGUGUUUGUAAUGUUUGUGUGUAUAUUUGUGAGUAGUAUUUGUGUACAGAGUUGGCGUUUAAAUGCGUGAUAUGGGUGUUUUGCAUGCAAAUGUGUAUUAACAAAUCCACACACAGAUGCCCACAGACCUAUUUAUACAUCGAUACACUCUGAGAGAUUCAAACACACACAAACAGGUUUAAUUGACACACGUCUACUGAUGCAUACACUGACACACAUACACACCUACAUUCUCUAUCAGUCCAGCCAUGUUAUAUAUUCCAUGGUGGUCCAAUGUUGCUGUUAUUGAUUCCCUUGUGGUCCAGCGCUGCCG